rnacentral:rRNA from 1 species
CAGCCGCCGCGGUAAUACGAGGGGAGCUAGCGUUAUUCGGAAUUACUGGGCGUAAAGCGCACGUAGGCGGCUUUGUAAGUUAGAGGUGAAAGCCCAGAGCUCAACUCUGGAAUUGCCUUUAAGACUGCAUCGCUUGAAUCCAGGAGAGGUGAGUGGAAUUCCGAGUGUAGAGGUGAAAUUCGUAGAUAUUCGGAAGAACACCAGUGGCGAAGGCGGCUCACUGGACUGGUAUUGACGCUGAGGUGCGAAAGCGUGGGGAGUAAACAGGAUUAGAUACCCCCGUAGUCCCUGUCUCUUAUAA